CGUGGACGGACGACGCGACCGGCAGGAAGAAGGAGGAUGGAAACGGGAGGUGGAGUAAGGACGGAAUUGGGAUCCGAGCAGCUGGUAACGGAGCCCCGUCGGUAGUGCCAUAGGGCACAAGUUUUGUUUGUGAUUUAAAGUAGUUUGAAAGGAUGGUUUAGUCUGGAUAUUGAAUAUCUAGGAAUGUUUGAUAUUGUAUUACUAUGUGUUGUAGAGGUGGAGAUGUAUGUACAAUUGAUUUGGAACAUGGAAGGUGGAUAAAUUUCUCUUGUGCAUGGUUGGAAUAA